rnacentral:tRNA from 1 species
GUAGCAGUGGCCUAAUCGUAAAAGCAAGAGACUGACAAUCAGUAAACCGUAGGUUCGAACCCUAUUUCCGACU